AGUCCUCAGCUUGGACUGGAACCUGACACUUGGGAUGACAAAUACUUUUAACUCAUAUAUUGGCAUCAGUUUGUUCAUUUAUUGGUUAAAGAAUCUUAAUGUUGACUAAUUUGAGUAAAUUUUCUUUCUGCUCUAAUUUUUAACUUUCUAGGUAGAUUAUGAUAAUCAUGCACUUUAUAAACACGGAAAGACAGGUCGAAAACAGUCUCCCGUGCGUAUUUUCACCAACAUUCCGCCAGACAAAAUAAUCCUUCCUACUGAAGAAGGGUACAGAUUUUGCUCUCUGUGUCAACGGUAUGUUUCUCUAGAGAAUCAACACUGUGAGCACUGUAAUUCUUGCACAUCCAAGGAUGGCAGGAAAUGGAACCAUUGCUUUCUCUGUAAAAAGUGUGUAAAGCCUUCCUGGAUCCACUGUAGCAUUUGCAAUCACUGUGCUGUUCCAGAUCAUUCUUGCGAGGGCCCCAAAGAUGGCUGCUUUAUUUGUGGUGAAUUGGAUCAUAAACGCAGUACUUGUCCUAACAUUGCUAC
rnacentral:sRNA from 1 species